UGGGGAAUUUUGGACAAUGGGCGAAAGCCUGAUCCAGCAAUGCCGCGUGUGUGAAGAAGGCCUUCGGGUUGUAAAGCACUUUUGUCCGGAAAGAAAUCCUUGGCUCUAAUACAGUCGGGGGAUGACGGUACCGGAAGAAUAAGCACCGGCUAACUACGUGCCAGCAGCCGCGGUAAUACGUAGGGUGCAAGCGUUAAUCGGAAUUACUGGGCGUAAAGCGUGCGCAGGCGGUUUGCUAAGACCGAUGUGAAAUCCCCGGGCUCAACCUGGGAACUGCAUUGGUGACUGGCAGGCUAGAGUAUGGCAGAGGGGGGUAGAAUUCCACGUGUAGCAGUGAAAUGCGUAGAGAUGUGGAGGAAUACCGAUGGCGAAGGCAGCCCCCUGGGCCAAUACUGACGCUCAUGCACGAAAGCGUGGGGAGCAAAACAGGAUUAGAUACCCUGGUAGUCCACGCCCUAAAACGAUGUCAACUAGUUGUUGGGGAUUCAUUUCCUUAGUAACGUAGCUAACGCGUGAAGUUGACCGCCUGGGGAGUACGGUCGCAAGAUUAAAAACUCAAAGGAA
rnacentral:rRNA from 1 species